CACAGAGUUAGCCGGUGCUUCCUUUGGAGGUACCGUCAGAGCUUCGUCCCUCCCGACAGUGGUUUACAACCCGAAGGCCGUCAUCCCACACGCGGCGUCGCUGCGUCAGGCUUUCGCCCAUUGCGCAAGAUUCCCCA
rnacentral:rRNA from 1 species